rnacentral:tRNA from 2 species
GCCUCUGUGGCUUAACGGAUAGAGCAUCGGUCUUCGGAACCGAGGGUGGAGGUUCGAUUCCUCCCAGAGGCA